GGCUAUGCUAUGGCCAAACAGAUGCCAAUCCUGACGCCUGACACGACGGGGCGCGACCAAGGUUGCCAUCAGUGGUGAAAUUUCAGCACAUGUGGUGAAAAAUGAAAAGAUCGCAGCUGAGGUGAUGAAAUUGUGGUGAUGUGGUGAAUUUCGCUUAUAAAGUUUCGGAAAGUGGUGAAAAAAUUAAAUUUAAUUAUCAAAAAAUAAACUGUUCUAUAGCCUCUUUACAGGAUGCAAGUAAUUGUGAAGUUAAUUGCACAAGAACUUCUGCAAUAAAUUGCAAAAUAACUUAUCACAAUAAAGUGAUUACACUGUGCAAACAAUGGCAUAAACUGACAGAAAUUUCUUCGGCAGUUAACAGAGAAAAAACUCUAAAACGUCUUAUUUGAUUUAACCUGCUUUUAUUUAGAGUGGCUCCAUUUCCUUCUCAGCUGACUUUUUUUCAUAAUUACCAUAAUACUGUUAAAUUGUUACUUAAAUAAAGGUUAAAAACAUAUUCAUUUUAUACUGAUUAUUUAACAUUUUAUCAUACUUUCAUAGUUAUCUACUUAAAUAAGUCUUAGAAUAUAAAAGGUUUAAAGGUUACCUAAAGUGUUAUUAUUUGGUUAUUAUUAAAAUUAAAAUCAUAUUGGUAAAAUAAAAAUAUCAAACUUGAGAGGAUGACAAUGACAGGACAGAAUGUCGAUUGUCAAUCAAUAUGUCAAUGUCAUCAGAAGUUGACAGAUAAUUAAAAAACACAGAGUGUAGCCUUAAAAGUAAAAGUUACUAAAAAUAUAACCAAAUUGUAUGAAAAACAGCGCAAAAAAAUUUCACAAUUAAUUGCAUCCUGGCAAUUAUAAAGUUUUAGGUAAAUAAAUAUGUUUGAGGAAGUCCUUAGUAUUAAAUUGAAGUUCUUUCUUUCUUUAUUAUGUCAACAAUAUUUCAAAUUUGCCGCCAUUUUUAACUGUGGUGAAAAGUGGUGAUAUUUUGUGUAGCUAAUGUGGUGAAAUUUCCUUGACUAUCAUGGCAACACUGGGCGCGACGGAAGACGGCCAUUUUUGGUUUUUGGCAUGUUUUUGGGUAGCAGCAGCAGCAAAAGUGCAAGAAUGAUCUUAUGAAAUGAAUAGUGACUCCGGCAUUGUGUUAAGUGUAAUGAGUGUAGGUAAUGGUGAGAGAUAAUACGCUGUUUUAAAGUGCGAAUGAAUAAAUGUUAAAUCUGCAGACAUAAUAUUCGCUGUAAAAGAUGAAUCUAUAAUCAAACCAUUGAAUUUUUACUUGGCUCAAUGUAAAUGUAUGCUCCACAACUGAAAUGUUAAGAGCAGAAGCCGUGCCAUGACAGUGUCAGGAUACAUAUAAAUGGAUUUUUGGUUAGUAAGGAGUGCAGGCGUCAUGGAGAUUGGUUUUCUGCUUUUCAGAUACAAUUUUCAGUUUGGUCUUUUUUAUGGAUUCAUAGGAAUAAUAUGCUGGUGUAUCGGAUCGAUACUGAUGAAUAUACAAUAUAAAACACCAUUACAAGAUUAAAAUUAAACAGCAAAAACAGCCUCAUGUGUGUAGAAAAAAGAGACAGUGCCGAAUAAUAUUCAAAAUCUUCAUCUAAUGUAUAAAUGUACAUUUAAUUAAUGUACAGUCGGAAAAAUGAAAGAAUACCCAUGAACGAACAUAUAAAACACGCUGUAUUUUCCUGUCACCGUGUCACAAAGAAAAUUGCCCUGCGCAAGUACAUGUAAUAAUAAUUAUUACAUGUACUUGCGAUGGCCAAUUUUUUGUGUGACAUGGUGACAGGAAAAUACAGCGUGUUUUAUAUGUUCGUUCAUGGGUAUUCUUUCAUUUUUCCUACUGUAUUAAUAAUAAAUAUUGUUGUGUUGUUUUUUA